ACAUGCAAGUCGAGCGGCAGCGCGUCCGACCGACCCUCGGGGUGGUCGGAGUGGCGGCGAGCGGCGGACGGGUGAGGAAUGCAUCGGAAUCUGCCUCGGUUGUGGGGGAUAACGUAGGGAAACUUACGCUAAUACCGCAUACGACCUACGGGUGAAAGUGGGGGGACCUUCGGGCCUCACGCGAUGAGAUGAGCCGAUGCCGGAUUAGCUAGUUGGCGGGGUAAAGGCCCACCAAGGCGACGAUCCGUAGCUGGUCUGAGAGGAUGAUCAGCCACACUGGAACUGAGACACGGUCCAGACUCCUACGGGAGGCAGCAGUGGGGAAUAUUGGACAAUGGGGGGCAACCCUGAUCCAGCCAUGCCGCGUGUGUGAAGAAGGCCUUCGGGUUGUAAAGCACUUUUGUUGGGGAAGAAACCGGCCGGGUUAAUACCCUGGUUGAAUGACGGUACCCAAAGAAUAAGCACCGGCUAACUUCGUGCCAGCAGCCGCGGUAAUACGAAGGGGUGCAAGCGUUACUCGGAAUUACUGGGCGUAAAGCGUGCGUAGGC
rnacentral:rRNA from 1 species